UUCCCCUGCUUCUUCUCUGACUUCUUCACCGCAUCAGGGACACAUCGAUUCGCUGUCACUGCUCAAGGGCCUGGCCGGAUCAUGGUGCUACUAGCCAGAUCCAUGCGGCGCCCCAGCGGUACUUGAUGCGGUUGAGUGCUCCGCCGUGUUAUAGCGCCUUCACGCCACUUCCUAAGAGUCGUUCGCGCCGUCGACUAUCACGAAGGAGAAGACAACCUUGAGGAGGACUUGGCCGAUGUCGUCUUCAUCCAGCUUGCUACGAUGUUUCCUAGUUUGCGAAUACUUGACAUCCCCGAGUGGCGCCGCUUCCCGACGUUCCCGACCUUGCGGCAAUCGCCUCCUCACACGAAGGGUGCAGGCAUGCACCUACUCCCCCAGAAAUUCUAGUCGCAUAUAUUUAUAUCCUACUCGAUGAUCUUGGCCAUGAUGUGCUUAUCCAUAGUGAAUGAGUUUCAGGUCUGAUAUGCUUAGCUGAAGAAAUUGUAAAAGAAAUACUCUCAAGCCAUCCUUUCAGUGCCAUCCAUUAUUUUUGUUGUCAUGUUUACGUGCCAACAAGUUGAUAUCGUGACAGUACUUGGAAAUGAAAUACUCUCAAGCCAUCCUUUGUGCUUUGUUGUAAUGUAUACGUGUUUCUCUUAGCUUUGUGUACUUAGAAAAAUAUUAUAACUAUUUUGCUGUGAAGAGGCAUGCAAAUUUUGCUAUGUACUGGCCAUCAAUGUAUUUCUUGAGAUAUCUAUUUUAAAUGAAAGUUGGAUUGCGACUCCA